GCCGCUGCCAUUGCACUCCCCUCUCCUCCAAUCCAGUCACCACAGAUCGUCGCUGGCAGCUCAAUCCCGUGCAUCCUCCGUCCACCUGUGGCCGCCACCGUCGUCGCUUCUCCCGCGGCCGUUCUGCUUCCCCCCGCCCUACGGCUUCCCGUCAUUCCCCGUCCGCCACCACGACCACCACUGGGGACACGGACCCGAUGGGCGCCAUCGACGGCACCGUCACAACCCCCCGUCUUCCCCUUCUCCGACGGCAACCCCGUGUAGCCGCCGCUUCUAUCUCCCCCAAGCUGAGUGCUUCCCCUCUCUACCUCUAAGCAAAUCAGUUGAACCCGUGUGAAAUCGAUCUCCAGAUUCAAUCUCCACACGAACUCCAUCCCUAUCCGCGAAAUCCAUAAAAAAUCUCAAUGAAUCCGAGUUCAAUCCGACCACCUCGGAUCCUGGGUGCCGCCUAUGUAUAGCAAGGGAGUUUGAUCUACAGGAGGGGGGGGGGGGCAGAUUGAAGAAGUGGGCAGAUCCCUGCUGCUGGGCUCGGGCGGAGCCCCUGCUGUCGCUGCCCAUGGCGGACGGAGGAGAGAGGACGGAGGCCCUGCCACCCUCGCUGCAACCCAAAGUACAGGAGGAGAGUUAGUAACGCUGCCAUUAUUUACUUGAUGCAAAGAUUGUAUAAAGCGUUGAGCUCUUUUUGCUGGCUGUCUUUGAUAAGCCUUUGACAUACAAUUUUGCCCAUGAUUUAGCCUUAGCACCAAAGAUGAAUUCAGUUCUUCCAUUCACUGCCAGAGGGAACUAUUGACUCAUUAUUUUUCUAAUGAUCUUGCACCUGUAUAUGCCCAAUUUCUUUGCUUGAAGAUUUGUUUUCUAAUUUAUUGUGCCGAGCGAUGUUUGCAGGCUCUAUCUUGCCAUACCCAUUGCGCAUAUACCAACUGUAAAUAACCUUGAGAGAACCAAAGAUGAUCACCAAUUAGUCAGUCACAUGGUGAAGGUGGGGAAAGAUUUGUUCAAUCGAGAUGCUCCUGAUUCUGAGGAACACAAGUAUUAUCAAAAGGAAUAUAUUUGAUCAGUUUGUGUUGUAUACUUGUUUGGGUUUCAUCAGCCCCCAUUUAAUAGUGUUGAUCACCUUCAUCUUCACUGCCUGGCACUACCAUUUAUGCCUAGUUGGAGAGAAGGUAAAUAUACACCUUUGGGACCCUUAGGGGGUUUUAUUGAAGCUGAGGCGCUAUUGGAAAGAAUAAAACCACAAGCAGAAACAUACAGUUAGCAUGGAUACUUUGAUUGGCAGGGCUGGACGGUGCUAACUAGCAGAUUUGAGCUGUACGCAUGUUUGGUGGCUUUUUGGUGUACAAAGUUAGAUUUGAGCUGUACACAGGCAGACAUAUUUGGUGGCUUCUGGGUUAUGAGCUUUAGAUCUGAGAAUGCUUCUGUUAAAAAAUGCUAUCAUUUAGUAUUUUCAACAUGCAAGUAUGUAUUUUGGAUCAUUGAAGUCGAUGUAUACUUGUCUGUAGUACUAUGGAAUAUGUGAACUGUGACCUUUUGGUUGAAAAAUGUAUAUGAUUAUUGUGGUGACCUAGUGUAUGGCUUAUGAACUUCCUAUUUGAAUGUUGUACUAUCAACUGUGAAUAUUUGGUGAAAUUGUAUCUGAGAUUCUUGU